rnacentral:rRNA from 1 species
UACGUAGGGCGCAAGCGUUUGUCCGGAAUUAUUGGCGUAAAGAGCUCGUAGGCGGUUCGGUAAGUCGGUGUGAAAUCUCCGUGCUCAACACGGAGCGGCCACCUGAUACUGCCGUGACUCGAGUCCGGUAGGGAGUGUGGAAUUCCCGGUGUAGCGGUGAAAUGCGCAGAUAUCGGGAGGAACACCAGUGGCGAAGGCGGCGAUCUGGGAAGAUACUGACGCUGAGGUGCGAAAGCGUGGGAGCGAACAGG